rnacentral:rRNA from 1 species
GGUCAGUAGGUUGGUCGUGCCACCGGUACGUACUGGUCUCACUGAUUCCUCCUUCCUGAAGAACCGUAAUGCCAUUAAUUUGGUGUUGCGGGGAAACAGGACUGUUACUUUGAAAAAAUUAGAGUGUUUAAAGCAAGCUAACGCUUGAAUACAUUAGCAUGGAAUAAUGAAAUAGGACGAUCGAUCCUAUUUUAUUGGUUUCUAGGAUUGACGUA